CUCGUUUUGGUCACGUUUGAUCUCAUCCUUCCAUAUCUCCCAAUCCAACAGUCCGUAACUAAUGCCCCAACCCCAGUAACCUCUCAGACCUCUCUCCUCCCUUUCUUUGUUCCACCACCACUGGCGUCGCCGGAAAUCGCCCACGGUGGCCACCGGCCAAAUAACCCCAAACUCACACCUUACACUCUCUAACUCCUCCUAAUUCCUAAUCUCCCAUUAAUUUCAACAGAAAGUCGACCAAUCUUCACGAAUUUCAGAUCUUAGACCUAAAGGAAAAAUAAUCUAAUCUUUGAUCAAAAGCCUUGAAUCCUCCGCUGCCUUGUUUCUCCGCCCCAAUAUGGUAAUCAAUAUCGCUACAUGUAGCAUUAGUUCUGCCGAUACGUGCGAGUCAAUGCUCAUGUUGCGAUAUCGACUAUCGACCGGCGAUUUCCUGGUCUUGUUGUUUUCAAAGAUCUGAUAACCAUGUAAUCAUGUUUGCUGCUGGAAAGUUCAGUUAACAAUUUCAGGAAAGGGAGGAUUCUGUGAUUCCAUGCCUUCCAUGCCUGACCGUCUUCAGUAAUCCUGUAGAUUCCGUGCACUAAACCAAAUCCCUGCUUUAGCUUUUUACCUAGUCCCACUUGGUUGGAAUUCUGGAGAGAUUUAAAGUACAAAUCAACUACCUCGUAUACUAUGAUGAGGUGUAGUUUUGUUGAGGAUCGAAGACAAUGGAUGUCAACAUAAUAUGUAGAAUUAGCUGAUUGUACGUACAAUAAUGAGAAAAAUAACAUGUUGCAGAAAAAUAGAAUUCUGUAUCUUCCACAACAUAUAUCAGUAACCUUUUCCCAUUGUGUCCUUUUGAUUUUUCGUAAUGUAACACCACUAGUCAUUUUGUAAGUAAUCAUAUAAAUUCCUAGUACAGCAAAAUCUUAGUGUUUA